UCCCCACCAAGAAAGCAGGACCUGGAGUCACAUGCUCGCUCUUGUAUUUCACUUCUGGAUGAAUAAGCAAAUACAUAGCUUGGCUUGGACGUGGAUGGCCAGGCCCCCGAACAGCCCCUGCUCCUGUUCUCAAAGCACAUUUCCAGGUAGGUAACAUUUUAUUCAUUUUACAUCCCAAGGAAGAUGAGGGUCAGAGGGGAUGAAUAACUUGCCUUAGAUUACAGGGUAGGUAAGUGAUAGGGGACCUAUUACCUCUGUUGGAAUUUCUUCAGGCCCAGGAACCUACUCAGACAGUCAAAGGCAAAGCUGGAGUCCUUACCCCAGAGAGCAACAGCCCUCCUGCUAGUCCUUUAGAAGAGCAAUCACUGGAAAUCAAGUCCCCCUAACUAAUGAGGUGCCUGAAAUUGAGAUGUCAUUAAUAAUCUCUUUCCUCCUGGCUUCUCUAGAUCAAAAUUCCAAGAUACUAAGGAAUGGUUUUUAUUUUAUCUCAGGGAAAUCUAAAGACUUGAAUGUUUUUUUUUAAAAAAAACUUAUCAUCCAGGAGAAAGUUUAAAUGCGUUUUAGUAUUAAUUUCUUAAUGAUUUUUGAAAUUAACAGAUCUUGCUGGAGCAGAUGUGCCACAAAUGGAUGGUUUCCAACGUCCUGUUCAAAUCUGGGAUGCCUCAGAGGCUGUAAAAAUAAAAUUCUAAACACAAUUUCAUUCUGGCAAAGACUGGGUAACCAUUCUGGAUUGGACCAAAAUAUCUAAUUGGCUCGCGCACCGAGGAUCAAUGCUGUUCUCCAAUUGGUGAACUUCGUAUGUGCAGAUUUAAUGGAAUCAUGGGAUUGUCAUUAGUCAUAAUUAUAGAAAUAGUUUCUUCUGUUUUUGUCUCUUUGCUGAGGCAGUUGCCUGGGAUGGCUUUGGAAUAACUUGUUCCCGAGGCUGGGAAGGACUCUGAAAAGAAAGUUUUCAUACCUCAAAUAAUCUAUUUACGCCUCUGGACAGAAAAAAGUGAGUUGAUUUUACAAUUACUCAUUUCAAAGGCUCCCUGCUCCCCUCUCCCUCAAAUGCAAGCUGCUUGGCCCUGCUGGGAGUUGGUAAAGCAAGGAGUACAGUUACAGGCUGUGAACCAACCUCAAUGCUAAUGGACAUUGGCUAAGGUGGGCACCUGAAAAGAGAUCAGUAAGACCCAAAACAGACACAUGUCUUUAGGAAGUUGGGAAAGAAGAACCUACUGCUCACAAACCAGGCUCUUUGCAUGACCACUUUUCUUUUUUCUCUUUUCCAGCUGAGGGGUUUUAAUUAGAGGCUAAAUUACCACAGGUUGAGCACUCCUAAUCCAAAAAUCCAAAAUAUUAAACUGCUCCAAAAUCUGAAACUUUCAGAGUGCUGAUGUGACAGAAGUUGAAAAUCCCGCUUCUGAAUGGUGAUGGUUCAAUGUACACAAACUUUGUAUUAUCAUGCAUAAAACUAUUAAAAAAUAAUGUAUGAAAUUACCUUCAGGCCAUGUGUAGAAAGUGCCUAUAUAACAUUAAUAAAUUUCAUGUUUAGACUUAGGUCCCAAUACUAAGAUGUCCCAUUAUGUAUAUGUAAAUAUCCCCAAAUCUGAAAAAUUUCUAAAUGCAAAAUGUUUCUGGUUCCAAGCAUUUCAGAUAAGGGAUGCUCACCCUGUACCAGGACAUUCAGAGCACAACCCCUGCAGGAUGCUGGUUCCACUUGUUCAUCUCCCAUUCAGUUGAUGAGUUCUUUUAUUCUACUAUUUUCUCCCACUCAGUAAGAGAAUUCUGUGUUGAAGAUAUACACGUCUCCUUUUUUGUAAGGCCAUUCUUUAAAGAGAUGAGAGGAACAUAAGCCCUACCAGGCCUAUGUAUGGAAAGGUCUAGAAACCUUUACCUCUAGCAAACUUGCAAUCUUUGCCUGACUCUAGUUUCCAUUGAGGUCUGGAAAUAUAGAUGGCAAGAUCAAAAUGCAUUUAUAGCUUGUCCCAGAGCCUUCUGGAAAGAAAGCCUGUUUUGUAACAAUAAUAAGAAUAGUGAACAACAAUGACAUAGCAAUUACUCCAUGCCAGUGGGUCAAUCCACAGACCUCUGGUACAUGCACUGUGAGUUGGAGGCACUGUUUGAGCCACUGGGAAUAAAGCAAGAAAAUUAUUGCUGACCCCAUCCCUACCCAUGUGGUACUUACGUUGCAGUGGGAAGCUUCAGUGUUUGGAGUUGUACACAACAGAAAAUAAAUUAGACUUGCUCAGUCAUUUGGGAAUCAGAGCAAGGGAAGAAGAGCAGAAAUGGCAGAGAAGUGAAUGGGUUGAGCUGGUGAUUUUUCCAUGUGGUCCCAGGUCAGCAGAAUCAGCAACACCUGAGAAAUUCUGCAACUACUGAGUCAGAAACUCCGGGAAUUAGGCCUAAUAAGGCAGAUUUUACACACCUGGCACGAAAGUUGGAGAACCACUGGAUUUGACAUUAGGAGUAAUGUUCUCCUCAGUGGAAAUUUACUGCAGCAAAAUGAGCUAUCACUGCCAGUGUAUAUAAAUGAGACUGCUCAAUCAAAACAAUGAAGUGUCUGGAUUUUAGCAUUUUCUAUGUAUGUGAGCUUUCUGCCAGUGUACAAAAAUACCUGAAAUAUUUAACUUAUAAGGAGAAAAGGGCUAUUUUGGCUUACAGUUUUAGAGGUUCUAGUCCAUGAUUGGGGGGGGGUCCUUUGCUUUUAGGCUUCUAGUGUGGGUGCUGGAUGGUAAUGGCAAGGAUUGUGGACAGAGAAAAACGGCUCACUCUUCAGCCAGGAAGCAGUGAAAAAAAGGAAGAGGAAGGGACCUGGGUGCCACAGUCCAGUCCAAGGGCACAACCCCAGUGACCUAAGAUCCUCCCACAAGGAUCCUCCUUCCACAGGUUCCGUCACCUUCAGUAGUAUGACCCUGGGAAUCAUGCUGCUAACACAUGGGUCAUUGAUGAAUAUUUAAGAUCUAAACUACAGUAAUAAGUUUAUUUAACCACAAAUUGCUUUUAUCAUUAUGGGAUGCUAAGAGGAUACCCAUGGGAGUUUGUCAAACAGUGCACAACGGCAUUAAAUAGAUUGCAAAAAUCACUUCCAAGUGCAAUGAUCAUUGCCAGAAGUUCUCAAAAAAAAACUGCUUUUAUACUUUAUAAAAUACAUACAAAAAUUUGAGUAUGAAGACCAUCUUAAGUUAUUAAGGUAUGAAUUUGAAUAUUAUAAGCAUUCGCAUCCCUUCCCUCCCCAACCUGGCCCAUACCUGCUACAGCAUCAAGAAUGGAAAAAUCAAAUAUUCAGGUGUUCCUCCUGAUCCUGGACAAGGUACUCUAGAGGAAAAUAUAGGGCAUCAAAAAUUGUAUGGGGAAUCUCUCAAUCCUUUUCCAUGACUUCCAAUCUUCAUCACUCUCCUCUUUUCUCUUUUCCAGACAAUACUCCAUCCUUGCAUCCAAGCCCCUAGGACCUGGGUGCUUGGUAUCCUCAUCUCUCUCCCAACUGCAGCCUUCACAACCUUUCCCUGCAUUCUUCCUCUGGAGAGACUUUUUGAGCUUUUCAACCCUCAUCAGUCCAUUCUCUUUCCUGGGAGUACAAACAGGUAAACUGUUUGCUUUUUUUUUUUUUUGCAGGAACCUUCUAGAGCAAGUGUCUUUGAGAGAAAGUUCUAGAAGUCAAGCUUGGGAAUGGGACACAACAUGGAAAGAAUUCCUCAGUUAGAUCCAAAAUGGACCUGUCCGUUAUCAUUCAGACAGGCUUUGCUCUGGGGUACCAUCUGCCUCAGGAAGUGAAAUUGAAGGCGAGAGGAAACCACUGACUUGGCUUGAAAUUGAUACGGCUUGAAUUUGAUAUGGACUGCGGAAGAGAGUGGAUAUUCUUGCUGCACUCCUUUUUCCAAGCAAAAUCUUAAUCAACUACAUCCUUGGGGUUAUAAUUCCACUCGACUUUCCCCUGUGGGCCCAGAGAUGGGGAGGGUGAUGACAGAACGAUGACAAGGUGACAGGAACACUUCACUCUGCUUUCUCCAUCACUACUGCAUGUGGACAGAGGCCUGUUUAUGGUCACUUCUUAUCCAACGUCAUAUUUUGGCCUCAUUUACAGUGGGGAUUAACAUGAUCUAGAGGCAGCCUGCUGGGCUUCUUUGUGAUCAUCUAAAAAUAAGCAAAGCCCAAUGGAUCCAUUCCUUCUUCCCAUUAAUUUGAAGGAAGGCAGAUGGUGCCCAAUAACCUGAUUUGAAUUGCCAAUAAAGCUCGACAUCUUUUUGCUGAGCAUUUGCCGUAAAAUUGUAACGAAUGGUGUCAGGUGGUGCAAAAUGAGCUCCAAGAAAAGUUACUCUGGGUCUGUGGGGUGGGAGAGCAGUAGAAGGGAGCAGUCAUUCUGUCUCCACACAACCUCCCCGAGGAAGGGGAUUUCAAGGAAUGAGAGAGGCCAGGGACAGCUCUGAACCAUUGAGACUGAAGAACAAAAUGUGACAGAAAGGGGUGGGCAGACAGAAGCUUUGAAAAAGUUGAACCUUUUAGGACACCAGCUAUGUCUCAGUUAUUGCUACCUUCCUACCACCCCUAGGUGGUAGGCAGAGAGUAAAUUUUGGUUGAAUGAGCAAUGCAGACACUUAAUGGAUAAAAAGGAUAAUAAUAAAAAAUAAAGAAAGUACAACCAAGAUAGGGAAAGGAUAUGAGGCCUGGGUACUUGGGUUGUAGUCCUGGCUCUCAGGCUGCAUCCUUGAAGAAAGUCAUGUAAAUCAAAGAUGGAGGAGGUUGGACACCAUAUUGCUUAAGAGACUUGCCUCCUUCACCUGGGACUAGAAUCCAAGAACCCAGACCUUCUCAUGUUGCUUUCCUGGGCAUCAACAAUCUUUCUCCUUUGCUUGUGUGCUCUGUGAAUGGUUUAUUGACUUUUCUAAUUCCAAAUG
rnacentral:lncRNA from 1 species